AGGAAUUUAAGUUAAUAAGACUCAGGGCCUUCAAAGCCCUAAGUAAGCACAACCCUGCUUAAUUCCUG
rnacentral:tRNA from 1 species